ACCGAGCACAGCGUGGGGAGCGUGGGGAGAGGACCUACCAUCACUAUACAUUCUAAGCACAGCUAUACCCGUCCCCAAUUCCACCAGACUGUCUGAAACACGCAAUACAUGUCCUAUCAGAGCCAGGCAGAGGAGGUGAACACACCGAGUACAGCGUGGGGAGCGUGGGGAGAGGACCUGCCAUCACUAUACGUUCCCAGCACAGCUGCACUCAUUCUCGAUUCCACCAGACUGUCCGAAACACGCAAUACAUGUCCUAUCAGAGCCAGGCAGAGGAGGUGAACACACCGAGCACAGCGUGGGGAGAGGACCUACCAUCACUAUACGUUCCUCUCUCUUCUUUUAUACGGGAACGGGGAUCCUUUAUAUGGUA